rnacentral:rRNA from 1 species
GACGAACGCUGGCGGCGUGCUUAACACAUGCAAGUCGAACGGUGAACCUCUUCGGAGGGGAUCAGUGGCGAACGGGUGAGUAACACGUGAGCAACCUGCCCCCGGCUCUGGGAUAACUCCAAGAAAUUGGGGCUAAUACCGGAUGUUCACCGCUUCCCGCAUGGGUGGUGGUGGAAAGGGUUUCCGGCUGGGGAUGGGCCCGCGGCCUAUCAGCUUGUUGGUGGGGUAGUGGCCUACCAAGGCGACGACGGGUAGCCGGCCUGAGAGGGUGACCGGCCACACUGGGACUGAGACACGGCCCAGACUCCUACGGGAGGCAGCAGUGGGGAAUAUUGCGCAAUGGGCGGAAGCCUGACGCAGCGACGCCGCGUGGGGGAUGACGGCCUUCGGGUUGUAAACCUCUUUCAGCAGGGACGAAGCGCAAGUGACGGUACCUGCAGAAGAAGCACCGGCCAACUACGUG